AUUGAACGCUGGCGGCAGGCUUAACACAUGCAAGUCGAGCGGAGACUUCGGUCUUAGCGGCGAACGGGUGAGUAAUACCUAGGAAUCUGCCUAUUAGUGGGGGAUAACGAAUCGAAAGGUUCGCUAGUACCGCAUACGUCCUACGGGAGAAAGGGGGGGAUCUUCGGACCUCUCGCUAAUAGAUGAGCCUAGGCCGGAUUAGCUAGUUGGUAGGGUAAAGGCCUACCAAGGCGACGAUCUGUAGCUGGUCUGAGAGGAUGGCCAGCCACACUGGAACUGAGACACGGUCCAGACUCCUACGGGAGGCAGCAGUGGGGAAUAUUGGACAAUGGGGGCAACCCUGAUCCAGCCAUGCCGCGUGUGUGAAGAAGGCCUGCGGGUUGUAAAGCACUUUUGUUCGGGAAGAAAUCAUGUCGGUUAAUACCCGAUGUGGAUGACGGUACCGAAAGAAUAAGCACCGGCUAACUUCGUGCCAGCAGCCGCGGUAAAGUAGUCGU
rnacentral:rRNA from 1 species